rnacentral:lncRNA from 1 species
UGUCACCCUAUUGGGUCUCCCUUGAGGACUGUAUCGUAUCAGAUUCAUCUUUGUGUCCUAUGUUGUAACCAACUUUGCACAUUUCAGGUACUCAAUCAAUAUGUCUGGGAAGGAUAUGUGAAUAAGUGCUUUCUUAUAUUUGGCCAGGUCAGAAGAUGCCAGAAGUAGGAUGUCCAGACCCAACAACUACCCAAAGAGAGGAAACAGAGCUUCAAGAAGAAGGUGGUGGUAAAAUGCCAAGGGACAUUAGAAAGAAUUUCCUGCCCUUGGAAUUCUGGUAGCAGAGAGACAGAAAAGGAAGCCACUGAAAACCUUGAAAAGUUCAUUCAUGAGAUCAGAGGGGGACAGAAGCUGGACUACAAAAGCAAAAAGAAUAAAUGCAGUUUUGAAGUUCUCAGUCAUCCCUAUUAGGAGCUCACAUGCAGGGACACAGAUCCUGCUCCAAGAAUCUAUUAUCUGGAGAGUCAUUCUAGGCCGCACUACCAUCUCUGGUGAAAGUCCCUGCAGAUUCGGAAGCCUUGCCUAA